rnacentral:rRNA from 1 species
GUGCCAGCAGCCGCGGUAAUACGUAGGUGGCAAGCGUUGUCCGGAAUUAUUGGGCGUAAAGGGCUCGCAGGCGGUCCCUUAAGUCUGAUGUGAAAUCUUGCGGCUUAACCGCAAGCGGUCAUUGGAAACUGGGGGACUUGAGUACAGAAGAGGAGAGUGGAAUUCCACGUGUAGCGGUGAAAUGCGUAGAGAUGUGGAGGAACACCAGUGGCGAAGGCGGCUCUCUGGUCUGUAACUGACGCUGAGGAGCGAAAGCGUGGGGAGCAAACAGGAUUAGAAACCCUUGUAGUCC